rnacentral:rRNA from 1 species
UGGGGAAUAUUGGGCAAUGGGCGAAAGCCUGACCCAGCGACGCCGCGUGGGCGAUGAAGGCCUUCGGGUUGUAAAGCCCUUUCGUGCGGAAAGAACAGUCUUACGGUUAAUACCCGUAGGAUUUGACGGUACCGCAGGAAGAAGCACCGGCUAACUCCGUGCCAGCAGCCGCGGUAAUACGGAGGGUGCGAGCGUUGUUCGGAAUUAUUGGGCGUAAAGGGCGCGUAGGCGGUAAUGAAAGUCAGAUGUGAAAUACUUCGGCUCAACUGAAGAACUGCAUCUGAAACUUCAUAACUCGAGUACAGAAGAGGGAAACGGAAUUCCCGGUGGAGAGGUGAAAUUCGUAGAUAUCGGGAGGAACACCAGUGGCGAAGGCGGUUUCCUGGUCUGAUACUGACGCUGAGGCGCGAAAGUGUGGGGAGCAAACA